rnacentral:rRNA from 1 species
AUUUUUAAAUAGCUGCAAUAUUUUAAUUGUACAAAGGUAGCAUAAUCAUUUGUCUUUUAAUUAAAGAAUUGAAUGAAAGAUUAAAUAAAAUAUUAACUAUAUAAAUUUAAUAAAAAUUUAAAUUUUAUUUUUAAGUAAAAAAUCUUAAAUAAAAUUAUUAGACGAUAAGACCCUAUAGAACUUUAUAUACUAUAAAUUUAAAUAAAAAUUUUAUUAUUUAAAUUAAUAAUUAUAUUAUAUUAUAUUGGGGGUAUUAAAAAAUUAAAAUAAUUUUUUUAUAAAAAUUAUCAUUAAAUUUAUGAAAUAUUAAAAGAG